AACACUAAACCUUAAACAGUACCUCUGUGUCUCUGUGUGUGCUGAACAUGUAGGAUUGAGUCAGGCUGCAUUGACUGUGGGACUUUUCUGUGUUAAAAGCAAGUUGAAGACGGCUCAGAAACAUUUGAAGAUUAAAAUUUAGCAUUAUGGCUGCUGGUGGUGUGUAAAGCUUCUACUCAGCUGUAUUUUUGUUACUAAUUUAUGUUUGUUGUUGUUUAACACAGAUUUCAGAAGAGCAAAGAUGAGCACUGUUGCUUAAUCCUUAAUAGUUUAAGUGGAUUGGAAAUAAAAAAAUUCCAGAUUUUUCUUCCACAGAAGUUUCAUUUGUCAGUGUGAAGAGGGAGCUGCAGUGAGGACACAGCCUGGUCACUGAGGUCAGAGGUCAGAAUCUGAAACAGCUCAGGUUUAUAUUCUAGGGGUUACAAAAAAAAUCGAAAUGUAUUUAUAAAGAAACCUUUAAAUAAUAUUUUAAUUAAUAGUCAUAAUUAUGAUUAUUAUUAGAAAUAUCAAAUAUUUAAGUGGAUUUUCUGUUACACGUAUUGUCUUAGCCCUGCGAUAACUGGCAGCCUGUCUUUGUCCUGUAUCAGCUGGGAUAGGCUUCAUCCUCCCGCGACCUUGAAUUGGAUACAUGAAUUGUAUUGAAUUGUAUUCCAAUUAUGUAAUCUGAUCAUUUACAAACUCAAGGUAUCCAAUCAAAAUGUAAGUAAUAAUGCUAAAAAUGGGAAAGCAGAAAUAAGUGUGACAUGAAUGUAAAUGUGUGAGCUGACAUAGAGGACAGCUACAUGUAGUCUGAAAAACCUUUGUUGUCAAGUUUGCAGGUCUAUCACGAGACAUUCUUACAUAGAAGAGACUGUUAAAGUCUCUAACUCAGUGAAGCAUUAUUGGUCCCGUCUGUUUGGAUAAAUAUAGAGGCGCUGAAAGGUUUCCCUAAUAGUUCCUGGUGAAUCAAAGCAGGACCAUAAAGGUUGCUGGACUGCAUGAUGGCCUUACCCCUGAGCAGUCAUCCUGUUAAAGGAGGAACCAGUUAGAAGCUGUUUUCAAAGUAGCUGAGCAGAUUUCAUCUCAAAUCAAAGCAGCUCGUGCUCUGUCUGCUUCCAUUCUGAUGGCAAGAAGAAGGAGAAGAAUGCUUCAGCGAAGUGGCGUUCAUGGUCUCAGUGGACAGUCAUGGUCACACACUGCAUGUGGUUUUAAAAGCAACAUUGUUCACCACAACAAUGGAGAUGUGUAAUAUUAGUGCAGCUACAGUUUGUUCUUGAACAUCAGUUCUGUUUUCUACUUUGACCACUUAGACCAAAAAAAGUGUUGUUUUCAGAUUCUUUCUUUUAAAUCUAUAAAUCACCUGUUCAUUUUUUAUUACAAUUAGUUUCACAUAAAUGUUAGUGUUUCCUCUAUGAUCUUUUAAUGCUUACACUACACUGUACACGUCUACACUAGAGACAUUUCUGUUACCUGUAUGAGACUGGGCUGCUUGACUACAAUUUGGAAAUGGAUGCAAAAUCACACGGAUCGUGCUAUUGUUUGUUUUUUAAUAUGAUGGACUGAACACAGGAGGUAUCUGACUAAGCAAAGAUUAAUCUGAGCCCAUUUCUACCUGUCUCUACUGUUUCAACUGUAACUGUCAGGAUAUAUAUUUAUUCCAGCUCUCACAGGACAAAGGAAUGACUCAGACUUGUCAAAUGUUCUUUGACUUGAUACACAAUAUGAAGUUCACAAUUUUCUUACAAAUAAAACUAUAAUGACAAACAUGAA